rnacentral:rRNA from 1 species
GACGAACGCUGGCGGCGUGCCUAAUACAUGCAAGUCGAGCGGGGAUUAUGCUUGAUCGCUUCGGUGAGACGGCAUAUAUCCUAGCGGCGGACGGGUGAGUAACGCGUGGGUAAUCUACCUCGUAGUUCGGGAUAACAGGCCGAAAGGCUUGCUAAUACCGGAUGAGUUCAUGCUUAUGCAUAUAGGCAUGAAGAAAGGGCUAGCCCGCUAUGAGAUGAGCCCGCGUCCCAUUAGCUUGUUGGUGGGGUAAUGGCCUACCAAGGCAACGAUGGGUAGCCGGCCUGAGAGGGUGUACGGCCACACUGGGACUGAGACACGGCCCAGACUCCUACGGGGGGCAGCAGUAGGGAAUUUUCGGCAAUGGGCGAAAGCCUGACCGAGCGACGCCGCGUGAGGGACGAAGGCCUUCGGGUUGUAAACCUCUGUCUGGGGGAUGAGAACGGACGGUACCCCGGAGGACGCCCGGCUAACUACGUGCCAGCCGCCGCGGUAACUACCCUCGUCUCU